CCUACCGGAAGUUGCCGGCCGGGAGCAGGGUGCACGGCUUCGGGCGUCCCUGGAUGUGUUGGGGCGCAGUCUCUGGGCGAGAGGACUCGGAAGGGGGAGAGCGACAUUCAGAAGCGCGGCGCAGGGCGAGACCUGGUGACCAUGGCGGGGCCGCAGUCUUUAGCGCUGCAGCUGGAACAGUUGUUGAACCCGCGACCGCGCGAGGCGGAUCCUGAGGCCGACCCGGAGGAGGCCACUGCUGCCAAAGUGAUUGACAGGUUUGAUGAAGGGGAAGAUGGGGAAGAUGAUUUCCUGGCGGUGGGUAGCAUUAGAAAGCUGGCAUCAGCCUCCCUCUUGGACACAGACAAGAGGUAUUCUGGCAAGACCACCUCUAGAAGAGCUUGGAAGGCAGACCAUUGGAAGCAGACUCUGCCAGGUUCAUCUGAUAAAGAAAUAUCUGAUGAGGAAGGGUCUGGAGAUGGAGAUUCAGAGGGUCUGGGCCUGGAGGAAUCCGGUGAGGAUGCCAUGAGUGCUGAGGAACUGGAGUGUGCUGAUGGUGACAGUAGCCUGGCCUGGAAAAAGAGGAGCAGAAGCCACUCCAGGAAGGCGUCGGGCUUCAGUGUCCAGAGCAUCAGUGACUUUGAAAAGUUUACCGAGGGAAUGGUUGACCUCGGUAGCAGUGAGGACGAGGAAGACGAAGAGCAGGAGAGUGGUAUGGAGGAAGGGGGUGGUGAGGAAGACUUUGAAGGUGAGAGUGAGGAAGACAAGGCCGAAGACAGGACCAGUGAGGACGACGGGGUGGUGAUGACCUUCUCCGAGGUCAAAGUUUCCGAGGAAGUGGAGAAAGGCCAAGCUGUGAAGAACCAGAUAGCACUGUGGGACCAGCUCUUGGAAGGAAGGAUAAAGCUACAAAAAGCUCUGCUGACCACCAAUCAGCUUCCUCAACCAGAUGUUUUCCCUAUUUUCAAGGACAAAGGUGGCCCAGAAUUUGCCAGCGCCUUGAAAAACAGUCACAAGGCACUUAAAGCAUUGUUGAGGUCAUUGGUAGAUCUUCAGGAAGAGUUGCUUUUCCAGUAUCCAGACACUAGAUAUCUAGUAGAUGGGACAAAGCCCAAAGCAGAAAGUGAGGAGGAGAUUUCCAGUGAAGAUGAAGAGCUCGUAGAAGAGAAGCAGCAGCAGCAGAGGAGGGCCCCAGCAAAGAGGAAGCUGGAGACUGAGGACUACCCCAGCUUCAUAGCGAAGCGCUUCGCCGACUUCACCGUCUACAGGAACCGUACGCUCCAGAAGUGGCAUGAUAAGACCAAGCUGGCUUCUGGAAAACUGGGGAAGGGUUUUGGUGCCUUUGAACGUUCAAUCUUGACUCAGAUUGAUCAUAUUCUGAUGGACAAAGAAAGAUUACUUCGAAGGACACAGACCAAGCGCUCUAUCUACCGAGUUCUUGGCAAACCUGAGCCGGCAGCCCAGCCUGUCCCAGAGAGUUUGCCAGGACAGCCGGAGAUCCUUCCUCAAGCCCCUGCCAGUGCCCACCUGAAGGACCUGGAUGAAGAAAUCUUUGAUGAUGAUGACUUUUACCACCAGCUCCUUCGAGAACUCAUAGAACGGAAGACCAGCUCCUUGGAUCCCAAUGAUCAGGUGGCCAUGGGAAGGCAGUGGCUUGCAAUCCAGAAGUUAAGAAGCAAAAUCCGCAAGAAAGUAGAUAGGAAAGCCAGCAAAGGAAGGAAACUUCGGACAGAGCUGUAUCGAUCUCUUUUUGGCCAACUCAACCCCCCUGACGAAGGCCACGGGGACUGACGGUGCCCAUCUCCCUGUGGCCCGGGGCCUGAGGCGGGACCUCUGCACACCCAGCCCCACAUAGAGGAACUCGGGAAAUCCCGGGAACGUGUGCUGUUCAGAACACGGGCCUGACGAGUGCCCGGAAACCUGGAAUCCAGCAUCUGUGUCACCGGUGCGUCCGUUUGCAAAGGGCUCGCCCCCCACGGCCUUGAACCACCACAAAUAAAGAGUGUUUUUACUGUCGCCGCCGCUGCCACACUCGAUUCCUUAAGCAGCACAGAGUGAGUGAUGUAGCGUUCCCACAGGGUGACAGGUUCUUUGGGAGGGUUUUCAUUGUUUUCCCAGCCAAAUGGCCUUCUUUCACAAUAUAAAAUACUUCAUGGAAGGAAUAAUCCUAGGGUAGAUGUGGCUUUCGGGGUGAGUCGUGUUUAGCGACUGAUCGCAGCUGUGAGGAGCAGGGAGCCCCCCCAAAACCUGUCAGCUGCGCCCCAGAGGCGUUGGAGCUUGGAGGCAUCUGCCUAUUUGUUGCUAAAUACAGAUCUCUGACUUUUUGUUUCCUCUUUUCACCCAUAAAGAUUCUUCCAGAGUCCUUUUCCAUUCUCACCAUUCCUAAAUCACUUUAUUGAGAUUAGCUGUGGUGUAAAUCUAGCAGGGGGAAAUGAUUCACUUGUUUUUCAUCCGAAAGGUCAAAAGCUGGAAAUUAAAUCCCCAUAAGGGGGAUUUAUUGGCCUGCUGUGGUCAGUAUGCAAUGAGAUGAUCUUGCAUAAGUAAUGUGUGCGUGCCCGCACUCAAGGCCGACCGUCUCCCGGGUCCUUUGCCCAAAUCUGUAUUUUGAGCUAUGGAAUUAAAGGAAUGUUGCUUACAGGCAUCUGAGGGCAGUUGUAGUUAAUAACUAGUCAUUGUUUUUAGAGGCAGGUUUUGGUAUUGUUUUAAAAUGUCAAAACCAAGUGACAGAUUUUUGUGCCCAGGAAUCCCACGUGUCAUUGACGUGGUGUCUGUGGACUGCGACACAGCGCCCAGAGGCUGGGUUCCAAACGAAGUGAGUCUGGAAUGUAAUCUGCAUCACAGUUUAGUAUUAACAUCUGAGUGUGUCUGCUGGGCUCGGACGGGGCAAAUGGGGGGAGGAGGAUUUCUCCAUCUCACACUAAUUGGACCUUGGUACAUCCUGCUCUGUUUUUCUUGUCUUGGUAAGUUAACCUUUUGGGCUUGAUUGUCAGGGAAACGUUUAAUUUUCAGUGUGUCUCCAGUUACCUAAAAGAUCACUCAACAGAAAUAGAAGAUUUCCCCUACAGUCACUCGAAUAUAGACCAUCCAACCCCAUCCAUCUAGCCUGAGGAUCCCAGAUAAACCCACAUUAGAACAGCAAGUAAGUAACCUCUUAACGCGGCACUUCCCGUGAGCAUGAUGCAGACCCACGAUUCCUAAAGAGAUGGAACCUUUGUCACAGUCACUCUCUACCUGAUGAAGAAAAAAUUUAAGCAGGUACUUCAAAAUAUUUGGAGUCCAUCAUGUUUAAUUAAAAUGAAUUAAAAUCAGGAGAGAUGAGAAAGAACGGAUAGAAUUUUCAGUAAAGGGAGGCUUGCAUUUUAAAAUUCAGAGGACCACCCUCCUUCCAGCCAAGAGUAAAUUGGAAACUAUUUUAAUUGACACGGAUACUGCAAUUCAACUGUUACUAGAAAGACAGAUUAGUUGAUUGAUUUGCAUUUUAAUAAAACGAAUACUUUACAUUUUGGUGGCUAAUGCUGAUUUUGAAAUGAGUUGAGAACUGUUAUCAAGAGUUUCAAUCCAGGGCCCUUUUUCAGUGUUGACUGAAGCAUUCCUCCCUUUUGUGCGGAGUUGGCUUAUUUUCUUUUUGUCCAGUUGACUCCUUCACGCAUGACCCUCCUAAACCACAGCCCCUGAAGACACCAUCAGAGCAGUGAGGAAACCGCAGGGCCCACCCAGCCCAGGUUUGCACCCGGGGCCGGAAGCAGGCCGUGGGCUUUGCCCUUCGGGAUAGAGAAGUUAAGGCUGGCUUCUCGUCUUAGUUUAUUUUACGUCAAAAAUUAAUUACAGAAAAGUGGAAGGAACAAAUGGAAAUAAGACUUGGCUGUAACUCCACCACUUAGAAAGAUCCCCUUCUCGUAGUUAACCUGUAUUCCUUCGUAGCCUUCUUCAGUGUAGAUGCUGUGAUACCCAGUAGACUCCUCUCUGGCGGGAGGGCCCAGGGAGCAGUGCAGGUGGAAGACUUCGUUUUUCCUUCUGGACUGUUUGAAAUGUUACCCUUUUAAAAACAGUAAAAACAAAAUGUCCGUGCAGCAUGUCCCCCUCCGCAUAACACACGUAUACCACCCGUUGAGAACCAGUGGUACGUUGUAUUCUGCAUUUUAAUACUAAUAGUAGAGGGGAAGGUUGUUUCCACGUUUUUGCAGAUCUCAUUGAAGCAUUUUAACUGCUAACUGAUAAUUCCAUUGGGGGCGUGUCUCUUCAGUACUGAACCAGAUCCCCUCUUGUUGAACACUUAAAUUGUUAUAAUUAUUUGCUAUUAUGAAUAAUGUUAUAGGAAAAUAUUUGUGCAUAAAGCUUGUUUGUUGUCUUUUAAAAUUAUUGGGUUUUUUGGCAUAGAUUUUGGGGAGUAAAGUGAACCGAGUGAAAGAGUCCAAAUAUUUCAAAGGCUCUUGGUCCCUAUGACGGAGGCUUGUUUUAGGGCCCGUACACUUCUCACCUGCCCUAGGCAGGACCAUCUGCAACAAAGGGUGUUAAAAGGCAGAGAGGAGGUUGGCCCUGGAGUCUGAUCCUGUGGUUUAUUUCUUGCUCCCCAGGGAACCCUUCAAAUCAGCAUCCUCCUCUGGGAGGAUUAAAGAGCUGCUGCCUGUAAUGUGCUUUGAGAUGCUCCAAUGAAAGGUGGUGGACAAAUAGGAAGUGACACCAUCCUCUCCCUCCCCGACCCUCCUGUCUGUUUUCUGGCUGCUAGAUCGCAUAUCAUUUUCUCUCCACCCUCCCCACUGGUUUUCAUGCUCUUGCUGCGUUCCGUGCCUUCAUCCUGGGGAUCUCUCCGGUGGGUUUUCCUUGCCUUGUAUGGGUUUAUGUUUCUCCCCAUAUUGUCUUUGGUGCGUAGCCAUUCUUUCCAGGUCACCGACCAAGAACGCUUGUUGAGCAUCAUUUGGAAACCCUGAGAGCCAACAGAACACCAGGGAAAGCCAGCUCCGACCAGUUCAGCAACAGACACUGCACCUCCAGUUUAGAAAAGUAGUUUCCUUUCAGUGGUUGAUUCUCCUGGUCUCCGCAUAUGACUUUUCCAAGGUUAUUGCCUCUUUAUCUCUUACCAUUUCAUCCGAAGGGAGCUGAGUUUGAGGCUCAAUGGAUCCAAAUGGGACAUUCGUCAACCUUCACCACCAUGGAGGGGUCACUGUGUAUGUGGGACACCAAGAUCUGUGUCUCCCUGGGCCAGGCUCACAGUUUGUCCAGCAGCUGUAUUGAUGAAGCCCUCGUUACCUGCUCCUUGUCUGGAGAGGAGGGGAAUGGUGCAAAUGCAGA